rnacentral:rRNA from 1 species
UACGGGGGGGGGCAAGCGUUGUUCGGAAUUACUGGGCGUAAAGGGCUCGUAGGUGGCCAACUAAGUCAGACGUGAAAUCCCUCGGCUUAACCGGGGAACUGCGUCUGAUACUGGAUGGCUUGAGUUUGGGAGAGGGACGCGGAAUUCCAGGUGUAGCGGUGAAAUGCGUAGAUAUCGGCAGGAACACCCAGGGGGAAACCAGUCGACUGGGCAGCACCUGACGCUGAGGUGCGAGAGCGUGGGGAGCGAACCGG